UACGGGGGGGGCAAGCGUUGUUCGGAAUUACUGGGCGUAAAGGGCUCGUAGGUGGCCAACUAAGUCAGACGUGAAAUCCCUCGGCUUAACCGGGGAGCUGCGUCUGAUACUGGAUGGCUUGAGUUCGGGAGAGGGAUGCGGAAUUCCAGGUGUAGCGGUGAAAUGCGUAGAUAUCUGGAGGAACACCGGUGGCGAAGGCGGCAUCCUGGACCGACACUGACACUGAGGAGCGAAAGCCAGGGGAGCAAACGGG
rnacentral:rRNA from 1 species